CGCUGGCGGCGUGCCUAAUACAUGCAAGUCGAGCGCGGGAAGCGGACUCGUCACCCUUCGGGGUGUCUAGUCCGUGGAACGAGCGGCGGAUGGGUGAGUAUCACGUGGGCAACCUGCCUGUAAGAUUGGGAUAACUCGCGGAAACGUGAGCUAAUACCGAAUGAAGUCUUUCACCGCCUGGUGAAAGGAUGAAAGAUGGCUUUUAGCUAUCACUUACAGAUGGGCCCGCGGCGCAUUAGCUAGUUGGUGGGGUAAAGGCCUACCAAGGCGACGAUGCGUAGCCGACCUGAGAGGGUGAUCGGCCACACUGGGACUGAGACACGGCCCAGACUCCUACGGGAGGCAGCAGUAGGGAAUCUUCCGCAAUGGACGAAAGUCUGACGGAGCAACGCCGCGUGAGUGAUGAAGGUCUUCGGAUCGUAAAACUCUGUUGUCAGGGAAGAACAAGUUGUGUUCUAACAGGACAUGACCUUGACGGUACCUGACCAGAAAGCCCCGGCUAACUACGUGCCAGCAGCCGC
rnacentral:rRNA from 1 species